AGCUCCAUGCGUCAGUUCCCGCCAAAUUGUAGCUCUUUCGAGCGAGGACGUGCUGAAACACUGCACAGAGACGGGCAAGCACUCAGAGGCAUUUCGUUUGCCUUGAUCCUGGAGGCGGCCUUCUCCCGUUGCCGAGGAUUUGAAGCGAACUCCUGGCAGAUCAGAAAUGUUCAGGCGAACGGCGGUUAUAUUUGUCCGUGGACCCAAGACUUCGUUGACGGGCAAAUAUGUCAGAUUUUCUUGUUUUUUAUUUGUGGCAUCUUAUUGUAAGACCGUGACAUAUUUUUGCCGUUUUCUCUAGGGAACCCUGCAACAAGGACUGUAGUGUGAAUAGCGUGCUGCUCUGCUCUCGCCAACUGAAAAGAACUCAAUGCAUGGUUGGUUACGAAAGUCUCACGCAAUCGCUUUUCACAUUGAAUUUGGUCGCAGGUGUGCUGUAAAUGCCGACUGCACAACAUAUGUGACUGGCCCGCGGCCGCUUUGAAGGUAAGAUUGUGUUCUCAUUAAUCUAUUUAUUGUACCAUUUGUUUUCCAGUGACAUAGACAACAACGAAAACCUCGAUCCAUCCUGUCUCCACAUAUUAUCUGGUUUGUGUGCUGUGGAGCUUGAAGCACUUCUCAGAAUUUCAGCACACUCGCAUUUAUUUUUUUCCCGACAGAAGAACAAUGCAAGUGUCACAUCUCGACGGUAAAACGUCGCAUCUGCGCACGUGUUCAGGGCCAAGAGCACGAGAACUGGCCGAAAGAAGGGAGCCGAUCCAACAGGAAUGCCGUCCGUCUUUAUAUUUAUAUAUGUCAGCGUUAUCAUGCCGUCAUCACAUGGACUGUACGGUUGCGUUGCACAAGGGCUGAUGCAAAGGCUCCGUGCGAACAAUGUUGCAUGGAAAAUUAGUGCAUCUAUACAAUUGCAAAAUAAAGAUCUAAAGAGAGAAAAAUAAAGAUCUAAGAGAGAAAAAGGUUCGCCUUCUCAUGCGAGGAGUUAAGCAGGAGCUCUUCGCUGGGCUCAUGCGGAACC